rnacentral:lncRNA from 1 species
UUUUUUUUUUUUUUUUUUUUUUUUUUUGUCUUUUUGCCAUUUCUAGGGCCGCUCUCGUGGCAUAUGGAAGUUCCCAGGCUAGGGGUCCAAUCGGAGCUGUAGCCACCAGCCCACAGAGCCACAGAAACACAGAAUCCGAGCCGCGUUCGGCAACGCCGGAUCCUUAACCCACUGAGCAAGGCCAGGGAUCAAACCCGCAACCUCAUGGUUCCUAGUCAGAUUCGUUAACCACUGAGCCACGAUGGGAACUCCAAGACAGCUCUUUUAACAGAGGUAAAAAGCGCAGUGCAGUGGUUAUGCCAACCACCACUUAUAUGUACCCUAGUUACAUGUUUGGAGACCGAGGUCUAAGUCAUUGACUUAGAUGUGAUGUUUUAUUUAUUCAUUUAUUUAUUUAAUUCUAUUUAUUUAUUUAUUUAUUUUGUCUUUUUGCCAUUUCUUGGGCCACUCCCGCGGCAUAUGGAGAUUCCCAGGCUAGGGGUCCAAUCGGAGCUGUAGCUGCCGGCCUACGCCAGAGCCACAGCAACGCAGGAUCCGAGCAGAGUCUGCAACCUACACCACAGUUCACAGCAACACCAGAUCCUUAACCCACUGAGCAAGUUCAGGGAUCGAACCCGAAACCUCAUGGUUCCUAGUCAGAUUCGUUAACCACUGCGCCACGACGGGAAUUCCUAGAUGUGAUGUUUUAAAGGCCAGGACUCCAUUAAGUACCUGGAUCCUGUAUGAUCCCAAUCAAACAGGGAUUCCUAACGACACUUGGAUGCUCCAGGUAUCAAAGUCAAUGCUGACCUGAAUCCUACAGUCUUUCAAAUGCUUAUUCUCCUUGCCCCAGUGUAUAAAUAAAAAGGCAUUAAGUCCUGCUGAGGAAAGACUGGCGAAAUCAUUAUCAUAUAAACUCACCCUGGUAUUGGAUGGUCCUCGUGGCUGUGGGCCAAUCUUCUGCAUUCAAAUCCAGGUACAGAUACUGGCUCAGCUCUGGUGUGGCCUCUGGAUCAUUGUCAAGAAAAGGCAAAAUAAGGAAGAGAAGACCAAUUCUGUGGAUCAUGAGGUGACUGGGAAUCUGGUAUCUUAAGACUUUUGAGUGCAUCAACCCAGAUGCCCCAUCCCUAGUGUCUGAGGUCCAAGGCAGUGGAGUCUGGAGACCCAAGGAUUAUGCUGGCCUGAGUUCAGGAUAUUCAAAGAUUCAUUCAUGUGUUUGAGCUGUUCGUGUCAUUGUAUCUGUUCUUGGCCCCAUAUCCCCUUUCACUGUUACCUCUUUUGCUACAUAAACAGCAAUCAGAAGGUAAGAGCAAUCUCCGGGAAAACUCAGGAACUGGAUGUGAAUGGAUUCUGGGGCACACUUUUUUAUUUUCAUUUUUUAUUUGUUGCUCUUUACAGCCACACCUGCAGCAUAUGGAAGUUCCCAGGCUAGGGCUGGAAUCGGAGCUGCAGCUGCCAGUCUACACCACAGCCACAGCAAUGCCGGAUCUGAGCCUCGUCUGCUACCUACACCACAGCUCACGGCAACGCCAGAUCCUUAACCCACUGAGCGAGGCCAGGGAUUGAACCCAAGUCCUCAUGGAUACUGGUCGGAUUCAUUUCUGCUGCAGCACAAUGGGAACUCCUGGGGCACACUUUUUAAAAUUAAUUUUUUAAAUGUACACGAGAUAGUAUAUUUUAUGCCAUGUUUCCCUGUAGUUUCGAGUGUUGAAAUGUUCUCAGUAAGUCAUAUUUUAUGUACCAACAAGAAGAGCUUUAAUGGUAGAAAAAAAUAAAAAAAUGUCCUGUUCUGGUCAGAGUGUAAGUUAAUUACCCGAGGCCUCAAUUUCCCAAUGGCACUAAUUUACUCCGAAAUAGCUGUUACCGUGGGCCUAACGUCACUGAAGGGAGGAUUAUAUGAGAUGCUAACAGGGUUAAAACGUACACUUCUCUCAGGUGGGUGGAAGCAGAGAGCCUGCGACUACUGGAUGCCGGGAGGAAGGAAGCCAGUGCUCAUGCUCCAUGUCUGGUCGAAGGGAACAGCCCCCGGCUGAUGUGGAGCCCAGUCCCACCCCUCCAAGAAGAGUCCUGAUGUGCACCCCCCCUUACAGACGGAACCCCCUCCUGUAUUCUUAUUAUGAGACUAGGGUUAUGGUUUUGUGUGUGUGUGUGUGUGUCUUUUCUAGGGCCACACCCGUGGCAUGUGGAGGUUCCCAGGCGAGGGGUCUAAUCAGAGCUGAAGCCGCCGGCCCACACCACAGCCACAGUAACACGGGAUCCUUAACCCACUGAGCGAGGCCAGGGAUCAAACCCUCAACCUCAUGGUUCCUAGUCAGAUUCGUUAACCACUGAGCCAUGACAGGAACUCCACAUGGUUAUGUUUUUUAAGGGAAAAAAAAAUAAUACCACAAGAGCAAGUACCCUUCUCAAGAAAUCCUAUCCCUGGUAACUUAGAUGCCUGAACUCACGUGGUUCAGGUGAUCUCUACCAGGCCUUCCCCAGUGUAAAGCCACUUUUUCUUUCCCCUUUCUACACCCCACCAUUGGGAAGGGAAUCAUGCGUCCAGCCCACACCCCAGGGGAGGGAAAGUAACUGUAAUCCAUCCGAAUCGUUCUACAAGGAAGUUCGACCUGCUGUCACCCCAUCUAUUUAUGCAUUCAAUGAUUCAUUCACAUUAUUAUGGACUCAGGGGUAUUUACGUCGUUUCUUGGGUCUUAUAAUCCAGUACUGAUAUGACUUAUUGCUCCAGCUUUGCUCAUUGGGAGUUAAGGAUCAGGCGUUGCCGUGAGCUAUGGUGUAGGUCGUAGACUUGGCUUGGAUCCCACAUUGCUGUGGCUCUGGUGUAGGCCGGUGGCUACAGCUCCGAUUGGACCCCUCACCUGGGAACCUCCAUGUGCCGAGGGUGCAGCCC